GUCAGGAUGGCCGAGUGGUCUAAGGUGUUGUGUUCAGGUUGCAGUCUCCCUUGGAGGUGUGGGUUCGAAUCCCAUUUCUGACA